rnacentral:rRNA from 1 species
AUUGAACGCUGGCGGCAGGCUUAACACAUGCAAGUCGAGCGGAGAUGAGGUGCUUGCACCUUAUCUUAGCGGCGGACGGGUGAGUAAUGCUUAGGAAUCUGCCUAUUAGUGGGGGACAACAUUCCGAAAGGGAUGCUAAUACCGCAUACGUCCUACGGGAGAAAGCAGGGGAUCUUCGGACCUUGCGCUAAUAGAUGAGCCUAAGUCGGAUUAGCUAGUUGGUGGGGUAAAGGCCUACCAAGGCGACGAUCUGUAGCGGGUCUGAGAGGAUGAUCCGCCCCACUGGGACGGAGACACGGCCCAGACUCCUACGGGAGGCAGCAGUGGGGAAUAUUGGACAAUGGGGGGAACCCUGAUCCAGCCAUGCCGCGUGUGUGAAGAAGGCCUUAUGGUUGUAAAGCACUUUAAGCGAGGAGGAGGCUACUGGGACUAAUACUCUUGGAUAGUGGACGUUACUCGCAGAAUAGGCACCGGCUAACUCUGUGCCAGCCGCCGCCGUAACAC